AUCCAUCUGACGAGUCCCAAAACAGGACGAAAUGUCUGUCCAGGAU
rnacentral:hammerhead_ribozyme from 1 species